rnacentral:lncRNA from 1 species
AGACAAUUGUUUCAUCAAUAAAGAGAACACCAGUUCUCACCAAGACUGAAAAGAUGAAGGAAACAUCAAGCAAAGGUCUUGAGUUUGGAGAAGAUUUGUUUAAAUCACAUGUCUAAAGUACAGAAGACCCAGUGAAAGAGUUUGAGGGGAGGAAAGGUGCAAGGAAUUAAGUUUUUAAGGUCAUAUUUCUCUGCUUCUUUGCACGCCUGAUAAUUUUUAACUUGAUAUCUACAUUGUGAAUUUCACCUUGGCCUCCAGCACAAGACAGGGUUUUCCCUGUCUCCCCACUCCUCUGUUGCCAAUCCUGCUUGCAUGUGCUUAAUGAGAAAAAGAGGAAAAAAGACUGAAAGCAGUUUUGAAUUCUCCAUGUCUGGUGCUACAACCGGUUCUGUAAUCCCCUCAAACCAGGCCUUUGGCCAUUUGCUAAAAUUUGUAACAAAAUUAUGGUUUACAAGAGGUCUGGUCUCUCUCUUAGAAAAGCAAUUGUGUAACUGGGUUUUCUUACUGCCUGCUGCACAAAAAAAAGUCAGUUCAGGAAACUGCAGUAAAGAGAGUUUAAUUGAUAAAAGGCCACCCAUGCCAUGCCAGAGAUGGAGUUAUUACUCAAAUCAAGUAUCAUCAAGGGCUCAUAAGUUAGGAGUUUUUCAAAGGUAGUUUGCGGGAAGUAGUAGUGUGGCAACAGUGGGUGCUUGCUGUUGACCAAUUGGGCUGGAGAUAAAAUCAUAGGCAGUGGAAGCUGUUCUCUUGUGCUGAGUCACUUUGGGGUGGGUACAGGAGCCAUGGGCUGGUGGGUCCAUGUGGAGCCAUGGGUGUCAGAAGUGCAAAAAACCUGAAAAUGAUUCGGAAGGGGGGAAUGGCAUGGUCCCUGGCUAGGGCUCCACCCCCGGCCCUGUGCUCACGGACCUAGGUGAGGACAGGCAUUUUUGUUUUCCUGCCCAAAUGUUGCAUUUCUGUCCUGGCCUGCCAUGCCCCCAUCCUGUGCAUAUGAAAACCUCAGGACCCUAACAGGUAGGCACACAGGUGGCUGGACAUCGAGAGGAGCACAUCAGUGGAGGAACACACGGGUUGCUGGACAUGGAGAGGAAUGCACCAACAGGCACCGGCAGCGGGGAGGCCACUGACCGGCAGAACAACGCAGAGUUUGGCUGGGGCAAUUGGAGGAGAGCCUGGAACACUGAGUGGCCCAACUCCAGGGGAAAACCAGUCUCCCUUCUGGCUUCCUCAUCUACUGAGAGCUACUUCUACUCAAUAAAACCUUGCACUCAUUCUCCAAGCCCACGUGUGAUCCGAUUCUUCCAGUACACCAAGGCGAGAACCCCAGGAUACAGAAAGCCCCCUGUCCUUGUGAUAAGUCAGGGGUCUAAUUGAGCUGACUAACACAAGCCGCCUAUGGACAGCUAAACGAAAACAGCACUCUGUAACACAUGCCCACGGGGGCUUCAGCUGUAAACAUUCACCCGCUAAACACUGCAGUGGGGUCAGAGCCCCACAGCCUGCCCAUCUGUAUGCUCCCCUAGAGGUUUGAGCAGCAGGGCACUGAAGAAGCGAGUCACACCCCCAUUGCACAGCCUGCUAGGGGGACAAGGGAACUUUUCCCAUUUCAGAAAGAUAUCUCAAAAGGCCAACCUUAGGUUCUAUAACAGUGAUGUUAUCUGCAGAAGUAAUUGGGGAAGUUGCAUGUCUUGUGACCUUCAAAAUAAAUGGCUGGCAAUCUUUUAUGUCUAUACUUUGAAGAAUUCAG